UUUAAUCUUGUGCCUGAUGCUGAUCUUACACUGACGUAUAUUGAUGAAGAUGGUGACGUGGUAACACUUGUUGAUGAUGAAGAUCUGCAUGAUGUGAUGAGACAGCGCUUGAAGUUCUUGAGGAUUACCGUGCUGCUAAAUAUUGAAAAGGAUGGUAGGUCUCACACUCGGUCAAGUGGAAGUUCUACUCCCAUGAGAUCACCUUUUAACCUGCGCCCAUUUCAAGAUGGCAAUGCUGGUGUUGCUCCCAUGAGAUCACCUUUUGACCUGCGCCCAUUUCAAGAUGGCAAUGCUGGUGUUGCUCCCAUGAGACCACCUUUUGACCUGCGCCCAUUUCAAGAUGGCAAUGCUGGUGUUGCUGAAUUUAUUAAAUCAGUACCAGAGCCACUACUUGAAGCAUUUUCGAAACUAUCAACAGAUUUUACUUCUAAAGCUGCAUCCUCUGCUCCAGUGCUUUCUGAGGUUCUUACCUGCCUCUCAAAGAUGGGAGAAUCCUACCUCAAUUCUGUUUCUCCAUCUGAGGUUGGUGCAGAUUCAAGCACACAUAAUAGGUCAUCUGACAACUCCGUCGAUCCUUUAGUGACUGAAAAUACAAAAGCUCCGCAAGCUGACAGCAAACAAGAACUGCUGCCAACUGCUGAACUCAAAGAUUCAAAUUCUAAACUUAAUGAAGUGGGAACAACUGGACCCGUGUCUAGAGGUGUGGGGACCUCAAUUACUCCAGCUGCAACAUCCAUGGAUCUUAACUUCCCUAGUUUUCCAGAUAUAUCUGAAAUCCCUAGUUUUUUUCCAGAUAUAUCUAAAAUCCCCAUUUUUCCAGUUAUAACUGAAUCUGGAGCUGUGACUAUUACAGCAGGUAUCGCAUCAAAUGUUCCUGCUACUGACAACAAGGAGGCUAAUGUGGAAAGCAAUGUUGCACCAGUUGCAUCCAAUGAUCCCUCUGUGGACAAGAGGAAGGAGACUAAAAAGGAAAGCAAGUAUGCACCCAUUGCAUGUUCUGAUUGUGCCAAUGAUCCCUCUGUGGACAAGAGGAAGGAGACUAAGAAGGAAAGCAAGUAUCCACCCGUUGCAUGUUCUGAUUGUGCUUCUGAUGGAAGGAAAGGAACUAAGAAGGGAAGCGUUGAUCAUUAUGGUGAGAAGUUGGCUGAUUGUGUUGCAUCCACGUGGAAUGCAGGAUAUCCCAGACCCUAUAAUCCAGA
rnacentral:lncRNA from 1 species